AAAAAUCAGAAGAAGAGGGGGAGGAGAUAAUCCCCUUCAAAUGGAGCAUUUAUUACCACAGUUGGGCUUGAAGCGCUGCUUUCCGAGGGGAGUCAUCACAGAUUUAAGCCUCAAAAAACAAAACCAACCACCAAACAAAACCUUCAGUAUGUUCCUACAGGUGCAACAUGAUGUCCCUAUGGGCCAAAAUGUCUUUUAUUUGAUGUUCUGACUGUUCAUUAUACCAAGAAUCUUCUGAAAAGCAAAGUGACUUGCACUGGAGGAAAGAGGUGAUCCUUCUGGUUUUCCUGAAACCUGGACAAACCACCAAUUCUGACAUGACAUUGCAACACUGACUAA